UACGGAGGGUGCAAGCGUUAAUCGGAAUUACUGGGCGUAAAGCGCACGCAGGCGGUUUGUUAAGUCAGAUGUGAAAUCCCCGAGCUUAACUUGGGAACUGCAUUUGAAACUGGCAAGCUAGAGUCUUGUAGAGGGGGGUAGAAUUCCAGGUGUAGCGGUGAAAUGCGUAGAGAUCGGGAGGAACACCUGUGGCGAAGGCGGCCGGCUGGGGGUACCCUGACGCUGAGGCGCGACAGCGUGGGGAGCGAACAGG
rnacentral:rRNA from 1 species